GGAGGCUCAGGCACGGCUGGGCUGCAGGUCCCGAGCCCUGCCCCGCGGGAAGGCAGCUAAGGCCGGGCGAGAAAUUGAGCACAGCAGCUGCUGGCCCAGGUGCUAAGCCCCUCACUGCCUGGGGCUGGCGGGGCUGGCGGGGCCGGCAGGCCGCUCCGAGUGCGGGCCCGCCGAGCCUACGCCCACCCGGAACUCGCGCUGGCCCGGAAGCAUCGCGCGCGGCCCCGUUUCCGGCCCGCGCCUCUCCCUCCACCCCUCCCCACAAGCUGAGGGAGCCGGCUGCGGCCUUCGCCAGCCCAGAAAGGGGCUCCUACAGUGCAGUGGCGGGCUGAAGGGCUGCUCAAGCGCUGCCAAAGUGGGAGCCCAGGCAGAGGAGGCACCCAGAGCGAGCGAGGGCUGCGAGGACUGCCAGCACGCUGUCACCUCUCAGUCAUAUAGAUGGCCAAUCUAUUUGUGAACCAGGCUUGUCCGAGACACUUACUUUCACGAAUGAAAUGUUCACCAGCACGGUCUGCGUUAAUCUUCUUGGUCUUCAGCCUUUCUACCAUGGAAGAAGAUAAGCCACAUUGCUGCUGGCCCCAGAAAGAUGAGGCCUUAUGGUGCAGUUCUGACCCUGCACCAAAUUAGAGCCUGGACCUUAACCUCACAGGCCCAGCCCAGGAAAGACUCGCUGAGAGCAGCUCAAUCACUGUCACAUGGAUGGGCCCAAGACACUUUCUUGGCCAAAAAGAGCUCAAGGGAAAAACAGACAACGCAAAAUUAAAAGAAAC
rnacentral:lncRNA from 1 species